GUGCCGAUCGCGUUAAGCCGCGCGAACAGUUCGUAUAUUGCGCGUACGGCCUGUGUAUUCACGCGUGCCCGUGUAUUACAUACAUAUACAAUAUACGUACAGGUAUACGCGCGCGAUAUCGCGACAACGACAACGACCACGACGAUGUGUGUAGUAAAGGUGCCUCCGCAUGCAGAAGAAGCGGCCUGAUCAGAUAUCGAGGGUAAUAUUCGUCGAGGAUUGUUGAUUAAAAAUAUAUCUUGAUUAGGAAUACAUGUAUAUAUAUUGUAAUACAUGGAAAUAUGUACUCGUGUAAUGAUAUAUGAGAGCGCGAGAGCGAAUUUUAUUGAUGGAUUCAUCGGAAGAUACAUAGACAGAAACGAACGCGCGCUUGUCGAGUCUAAUAAAUAUGGAAUCUCUAUGAAAUGUUAAUACAAGGCGUACAAGGACGCUGUCUCGCGUGCUUCUUACGGAUGAUUGAACGCGAAUACAACAGAUUUCUGCGAUAUCUCGCAUCGAAUAAAAUGCCAUUUUUUAUCGAA